UGGCUCAGGAUGAACGCUAGCGACAGGCCUAACACAUGCAAGUCGAGGGGCAGCACAAGGAGCAAUCUGAGGUGGCGACCGGCGCACGGGUGAGUAACACGUAUGCAACCUGCCUGUAAGCGGGGAAUAACCCGUUGAAAGACGGACUAAUACCGCAUAAUACUAAAUUACUGCAUGGUAAUUUAUUUAAACAUUUAUGGCUUACAGAUGGGCAUGCGCAUGAUUAGCUAGUUGGAGAGGUAACGGCUCCCCAAGGCAACGAUCAUUAGGGGUUCUGAGAGGAAGGUCCCCCACACUGGUACUGAGACACGGACCAGACUCCUACGGGAGGCAGCAGUGAGGAAUAUUGGUCAAUGGACGAGAGUCUGAACCAGCCAAGUCGCGUGCAGGAAGAAUUGUCCUAUGGAUUGUAAACUGCUUUUGCAGGGGAAUAAAGUGCAUCACGUGUGAUGUUUUGUAUGUACUCUGCGAAUAAGGAUCGGCUAACUCCGUGCCAGCCGCCGC
rnacentral:rRNA from 1 species